CCUUAGCUUACUUUAUGUGGACUUCAUUUUUACAAAUUUACCAGUCAUGAACUAUGUCGCUUAUUUUACCAAGAGGAAUUAAUAUCGGAAAAUUGUUGUGUUCCUUUUUAUUAUUGUAAAGAAUAAGGGACUUGAUCUGAUUCCUACCACAUUAUCACCAUUAUAUAGUUUUCUUAUUUUGACUUGAAACAAAGUUUCUCUGAUAAUAUUGCAUUUAUCCAAGUGAAAUGCUAGAAGGACAUGUGCUCCUGGUAAAAUACUAAUAUUUAUUUUUGACAUUUAUUUAAAUGAUUUUCUUAAACAAUGUUCAGAUAAUUUAUAUUGCAAUGAAUGGAUUGUUUCAAAUUUGCAACUGCAGAAACUGAAUGUGAUAGUAGUUAGCUUGCACUUUCCACAGAUGGAAACACAUGUAUUACCAGCACCUGAUAAUGACAAUUUUCCCACUGUCAAUCUUUUUCUUUUUUUUUUAUCACUGCAUAGUUGAGAUCUUAUCUUCACUUUAAAUAAAUUAAUAGGCCUUCAUGUGCAUCGUGCUUGAGAAUAUCUGUCAACGAUAUGGUAAAACUUUUCAGUACAAGGUAGUAAUGUAGUCCCCUUAAAAUAUGAAUGAAACAUAUAGAUAGAAGCACUGUAUUUGUGUAUUGAGAAGGGAAUGUUCUGAACAUUCUGAUUUACAUCGCUCUUAAUGUCUUACAAAAAGUAAUUACUUUUAAAUUUGGUGAGAACCAAAUGGAUGCAUUGUGAGUUUUUGAAUUGCUCGGAUUGAAACAUUAAUCAUGCUUCUGUUAGAGAAUAAUAUAAAUCAUAUCCUGGAACCUCACCUAAAAUCUUAAGCUUUUGGGUUGAGAUGGUUCUUUAACAUGGUAUCAGAGCCUUGAUGACCAAGCGGUCACGAGUUUGAAUCUCACCAUCCCCAUUUAUUUGAUAAAAAUUAAGCACAAGGUAAUGUGAGUUUGUGCAAGUUUCAAGCUCAAAUGGCUUUCACUUGAGGGGGUGUCUUAGAGAAUAAUAUAAAUCAUAUCCUAGGACCUCACCUAAAAGCUUAAGCUUUUGGGUUGAGAUGGUUCUUUGACAGAUUCAUGUAGAUUGAAUAUGAGAAUGAGAUACUAUUGACCAUAGAGGAGGGACAGUAAUUAAAUCAAAGUUAAGAUAAUCACUGCAAAAUUAAUGCAAUUGGAGCCAGAAUUUCUGCCGGGGUCCAGAGAAGCUAGAAGAGUCGGGGAUUGAUAGUUGUCUCAAUGGGAAACUACUAUCUAAUUUGAGAGACUGGCCAAAACGAAAUUGACAUUGCCUUUCUUUCCAGAGAAACUUUCAUCAAUUCAGACUAUUCUGUUGUGAAUCCUUUGAAGCAAUUCAUUAGGUGUAAUCCCCCAUUUCUUCACAUUUUUCUUGAAUUUUUGUCAUUAAUGGUAAAUGUGGACAUGAAAUUUCUUUUUUGGAGCUUUUCAUGUGUAUUUGCAGUGGUCAAACCUGUAUCCUGUGUUUGUUUUAAGGAUUAGAUUUUCCAUUAGACCUUGAGAGAUGACAUUUGUCACACAGAUAUUUAGCUUCUCAAUUUUAUGGUUCUAAAUUCUUCUAGUUUAUGUUCACGAGCUUUUUGUAAUCCAUUUGUUAAAUGAAGCUCAUUUACCUAA